UUCGCAAUGCCCGAAAGGGUGACGAAGCGACGCCGCGUGGGUGAGGAAGGCCUUCGGGUUGUAAAGCCCUGUCAGGAGUUAAGAAAUGUAAGUGCGCUAAUAUCGCAUUUAUUUGACGAAGGCUCCAAAGGAAGUCACGGCUAACUCUGUGCCAGCAGCCGCGGUAAUACAGAGGUGGCAAGCGUUGUUCGGAAUUAUUGGGCGUAAAGAGCACGUAGGUGGGUUUGUAAGUCGGAUGUGAAAGCCUUCUGUUCAACGGAAGAAUUGCAUCUGAAACUGCGAGUCUUGAGUGUAGGAGGGGAGAAUGGAACUUCUGGUGGAGCGGUGAAAUGCGUAGAUAUCAGAAGGAACGCCGGCGGCGAAAGCGAUUCUCUGGCCUAUUACUGACACUCAGUGUGCGAAAGCUAGGGGAGCAAACGGGAUUAGAUACCCCGGUAGUCCUAGCCGUAAACGAUGGGCACUAAGUAGAGGGGUUUU
rnacentral:rRNA from 1 species